AAGAAGUUAGGUCAGGCAAAUAAAAAAUCACUCCUCAAUUAAAAUCCACAUUUUUCUCAUCAGACGUAGCUUCGGCUUCUUCUAUUGUUCCAAUUUCUUCCAAACCUAAGCUCUGUUCCUCUCUAUUUACUCACUCUCCAAUCAUUCCAUCAUCAAAUCCCCAAAUUUUCUCUGCAAAUCAUUCUAAAUCCCUCGAAAACUUGUUUCAACACCAGCCUCCCAUGUUCCUACACCAUUGCAAGACAGGGAGAAAGAGAUUAAAAGUUGGAAGCAGGGUCUAAUUGAAGGAAGAUUUUGGAGAUUUGAAUCUUGAGAGUGGUUGUUGCUCAAGCUUCGUUGGGGAAUUGAAUUCAAAGAUUGGUUAUUGAAGACUGCCGCUUGGAUCAAUAUUUGAAUCUAGUAUCGAGGUAAGAGCAAGGAGGUACCGGCGAGUGAUAGAAGGAAUCCGUGACCAUGCCAUUGGGACCAAAGAAAUGUUUCCGCUCAUGUUCUAAGAGUUCUUUUAGUUUUCAGACUUAUUUAUUUUCAUUUAUGACUUAUAGGUACCCUAUCAUUUGAUUUUAAUAUUUGAAUUUAAUGAAGAUCUUUUAAAUUUACCUUA